UAAAAUCAAUGAAAAGUACUUUAAAAAAUUGUAAAUUUCAUAUGUUGUGGUUACACUGAUCUUUUCUUUGAACAUUUCUGCUGUGAAAUUCUUUUUUUUAAUACAAUGAUUUAAUACCUGCAUUUGGAGACUUAAACUUCUUACAGAUGCUAAUUAAUUAAUUAGGCAAAUAGGUUUGAGGGUAGUUAUGAAGUAGUAAUUUCAGUUUGUGCUCUUCCAGUAACUCAGCAUGACUUUCACUCUCAUUUCUAGCAGAUAUUACAGUGAGAGAUGAGCAUUUCAGUUUGCAGCUGACAGUUUAGGGUUAAGAUAUGAUUCCAGGUAACAGAAGCCAAUGAGAGUACACCCAGUUGAUGUUUGUGACAUCAUCUUCCAGUCGGAGUACAUAGAACAGCUGAGGUAGCGUUCAGUUUCAGCCCCAGUGCCAUUAUGAUGGAUGUUUACAUCUCUUCAUUGAGAGCCAAUUAUCUCGCUUUUGUGUGAGGCCCAAGGAUCACUCAUGCUGCCUGGCUGCACAGAGCACUGUUGGAUCUAGCUGAACGAAUUGUUUUCUGUCUCUGGCCACAGGAUAGCUCAUAUUUGAAGAAGGCUAUUAAUUAUGGCUGCUGUAAUAAUACACCCAAAUGUUUAACAAGGUAAUACACAGCUUAAACUGCUUAUUUUCACAAAUUACAUUGAAGAUUUUCUUAAUAGUUGUGUUGUGUAGACUGAAAAAUAUUAAUUCUUAUGAGUCACCUUUCUAGUACUACUCUCUUACUUAUCAAUAAAUUACAACUACAUAGUUGAGAAUCUGGUAAGAUGAACCUCAAAAUCUGAAUAAUGAUAUGAAGCCAAUGAGAUCCAUUAAAUAGUUUAGCUCACUUUUCUGGAUGGUAUAAUCACAUUUUCUUUUGAAAGAACAUAUUUACCAUCAGCUGUCUGUAUCCUCAGACAGAUUUAAUUAACUGUGGAUUGACUAUAUUGGAAAAGGUUACAUCUGUACUGAAGAAGUGCAGAAUUUUGUUGUUUGUCAUUUCUUAAAGCAUUACAAUAACUACAUAGCAUUUAUAUUGCAUUAGGUAUUAUAAAUAAUGCAGAGAUAAUUUAUAGUAUACAGAAAGAUGUUUGGAACUAUCUACUAUUAUAUAGUAUUUCAAUAUCAGUAUCUAGACAAGGAAUUUGGUGCUCAUAGGGAGGCUUGGACCUAAAAUUUUACAGAUUUUGAGGUGUAAAAGUAUAAAUAUCAAACAAAUGUUGAAUUUAUUAGUAGCAAAAUACACCACUGUUGGUGAAGAUAUAUCACAUCAGGUAUUAUUUAAAGCUACUUGAAGAGAAAUAUAAUGGGCCGAGAGCAUGUCCAAAUGUAGGCAUAUGAAAUUAUGAAAUAAAUGGAAAACUCAGAUCCAAGAGCAUUAUAAAACAGGGACUGGACUAUAAAGACCAAAUUCCUGGGUAAAAAAAUGAAUUAGAAUUUAUUGACUUGGAAACAUAUUAUGUACCUUAUCAGUUCCUAGAUCCAGGUAUCCCAUACAUAUUAUUUUACUAUUUAUUACCAAACUAAAAGAUGGAUACCAUGCCCACAUAAACUGAGCCUCACAGAGAAUGAAGUAGCACUUGUACAAAGCAAAAGAGCUGGGAAUUGUUACGAUUGUUCUGUUUUUAACAGUGUGGCUCUUCCUGUACUCAUGACAGUAAUGGUGACAUCUAGAAAAAUUGAGAGAAAUCAUUAUAGAACCAAAAGAGGAAUAUUAGUUUGUGAUUAACCACAGUUUCAAUAGCUGAAGCAGAAAUAGUAACUGUAUUAAUAUUAGGAGACACGUGAUGGAAAUGAGAAAUAAGAUGGUAAUGAGAUAUGAUGGUAAUGGUAGGGUAGGAAGAAAAACAUAAUUUUGGGGCAGUGCUAAUUGCAUCACAAUGUAUUCAAACUAAAU
ensembl:lncRNA